AUGCCACCCCAUAAGGAAGAUCAAGAUUCAUGGGUAGAUGGUAUAUCUGUUUGGAAAAUCAUAUUGAUUGGUUAUGGAUGUGGUUUGGUGAUUGGGUUGUCUAUUGGAUAUACAGUGCUGAAUGAGAUGGGAAACAAAUGGAUGGAUAGGUUUACAUGGAAUCGGAAUAAAAAAUGGAGAAGAUCUUCUAGGUGACUCCAUCAAAAUUCAAGUUUCAAAUUCAUUUGGAGCACAAUCAAGGGAAGUUUGGCAGGCCAUCUAAAGAUAUAGAAGCUAUUGUUUCAACUAUCAGAAGUUCCUUUUGGCUUAGUUCAAUAACAAGAUUGCAGUCUCCAGUUCCACGCUUCCUCUUCAACAACAGAAAUUGUGUCUGAAUGUUUUUGGCUUGGUGUUACGGUCACACAAACUCUCCUUCUCAACCUCCAGUAAAACUUUCAACUAUCAGACCAGGAAUUACAUCAACAAUAUCAAUUAUUCACCUCAACUAUUUGCAGUGCAGGAAUUUGAUAUAAGCCAUGGCAUGUACAACAAUGACUACGCCUACCAUUUCAACUGCCAAAACUAGAUGUUACAUCUCCUAACACAGAAAAAUCUUCACAGACCAAGCUCAAGCUAAGAUGCUUUAUUCCUGUAUUAACUGCUACAUCACUACAGAGAAAAAAACAACGAAAAGAAAAGAACAAAGCUUCCAGUUCCAGGUAUCAAGCUCGACAAUUCCAGACUAACUUCGAUAGUAUUUUAUUGUCCCUAACAACUAUAGAUUUGACAAUAGCGAGAAACAUUGAAAUAUUUCCUUUAUUAUUUUCUUCAACUUUAAUCCCAUAUCAUCCUUUGUUUCUUUGCUUCAGCAC